rnacentral:rRNA from 1 species
AUGAACGCUGGCGGCGUGCCUAAUACAUGCAAGUCGAGCGAACAGACGAGGAGCUUGCUCCUCUGACGUUAGCGGCGGACGGGUGAGUAACACGUGGAUAACCUACCUAUAAGACUGGGAUAACUUCGGGAAACCGGAGCUAAUACCGGAUAAUAUAUUGAACCGCAUGGUUCAAUAGUGAAAGACGGUUUUGCUGUCACUUAUAGAUGGAUCCGCGCCGCAUUAGCUAGUUGGUAAGGUAACGGCUUACCAAGGCAACGAUGCGUAGCCGACCUGAGAGGGUGAUCGGCCACUAUGGAACUGAGACACGGUCCAGACUCCUACGGGAGGCAGCAGUAGGGAAUCUUCCGCAAUGGGCGAAAGCCUGACGGAGCAACGCCGCGUGAGUGAUGAAGGUCUUCGGAUCGUAAAACUCUGUUAUUAGGGAAGAACAAAUGUGUAAGUAACUAUGCACGUCUUGACGGUACCUAAUCAGAAAGCCACGGCUAACUACGU